GCAGCAGGCCGGUCUGUCGCUGAUCCUUGAUGGAUGGGAGGAAAGUCCGGGCAACGCAGAGCGCCAUCCUUCCUAACGGGAAGCUGUUCGCGAGGGCAGAGGAGCGUAACAGAAAAUAACCGCCUGUCGCUUUGCGGCCGGUAAGGGUGAAAAGGUGAGGUAAGAGCUUACCGCUUACGUCGUAAUACGGAAGGCAGUACGUCUGAUGGGUUGAAAGGUCAUGUAUACCGGCGCUGUAGGAUGGCUCGUCCGAUGCCGGGGGGUAGACCGCUACGAAUAUGCCGGUGACGGCGUAUCAAGAUAAAUGACAGACACUUCUUUCGCGAAAGGAGUACAGAACCCGGCUUACAGGUCGGCUGCAAUU
rnacentral:RNase_P_RNA from 1 species